UACGGAGGGUGCAAGCGUUGUUCGGAAUUACUGGGCGUAAAGCGCGCGUAGGCGGUUUACUAAGUCAGAUGUGAAAGUCCACGGCUCAACCGUGGAAGUGCAUUUGAAACUGGCAGACUUGAGUAUUGGAGGGGGUGGUGGAAUUCCCGGUGUAGAGGUGAAAUUCGUAGAUAUCGGGAGGAAUACCGGUGGCGAAGGCGACCACCUGGCCAAAUACUGACGCUGAGGUGCGAAAGCGUGGGGAGCAAACAGG
rnacentral:rRNA from 1 species